UACGAAGGGGGCUAGCGUUGUUCGGAAUCACUGGGCGUAAAGGGCGCGUAGGCGGCUUUAUAAGUCGGGGGUGAAAGCCUGUGGCUCAACCACAGAAUUGCCUUCGAUACUGUAUGGCUUGAGACCGGAAGAGGUUAGUGGAACUGCGAGUGUAGAGGUGAAAUUCGUAGAUAUUCGCAAGAACACCAGUGGCGAAGGCGGCUGACUGGUCCGGAUCUGACGCUGAGGCGCGAAAGCGUGGGGAUCAAACAGG
rnacentral:rRNA from 1 species